AUACGGAGGAUCCGAGCGUUAUCCGGAUUUAUUGGGUUUAAAGGGUGCGCAGGCGGGAGAUUAAGUCGGCGGUGAAAUUUUGCAGCUCAACUGUAAAAGUGCCUUCGAAACUGGUUUCCUUGAGUGUAGAUGAAGUAGGCGGAAUUUGUGGUGUAGCGGUGAAAUGCAGAGAUAUUACGAGGAACUCCGAUUGCGCAGGCAGCUUACUAAACUGCUACUGACGCUCAGGCACGAAGGCGUGGGGAUCAAACAGGAUUAGAUACCCUGGUAAUCCACGCAGUAAACGAUGAUUACUAGCUGUUUGCGAUACAAUGUAAGCGGCUGAGCGAAAGCGUUAAGUAAUCCACCUGGGGAGUACGUUCGCAAGAAUGAAACUCAAAUGAAUUGACGGGG
rnacentral:rRNA from 1 species